AUGCCCGUUGAAUAUAAUCUUUCCGUCAAUCUUUUCUUUGUAGGGCAGUAUGAGGCAGGGUUGCAUGGAGAAGACCAGGUGAAGCAGAGCCCUCAGACCUUGAGACUUCGGGAGGGAGACAAUGUCAGCCUCAACUGCAGUUACACGGUCAGCUUGUUUACAGGGCUCCAGUGGCUUAGGCAGAAUCCUGGGAAAGGCCCUGAACUCCUCUUCCUCCUGUAUUCAGUUAACGAGGAAAAGCAGAAAGAAAGAUUAAAAGCCACAGUAUUAAAGCAGGGAAGUUCUCUGCACAUCACAGCCUCUAAACCUGAAGAUUCAGCCACUUACCUCUGUGCUGUGGAGACACCGUGCUCCCAGGCACCUGCAGCCUGA